rnacentral:rRNA from 1 species
UGGGGAAUAUUGCACAAUGGACGCAAGUCUGAUGCAGCGACGCCGCGUGGGGGAUGAAGGCUUUCGGGUUGUAAACUCCUUUCAGUACAGAACAAGGCCUUUGUGGUUGAGGGUAUGUGCAGAAGAAGCGCCGGCUAACUACGUGCCAGCAGCCGCGGUAAUACGUAGGGCGCGAGCGUUGUCCGGAAUUAUUGGGCGUAAAGAGCUCGUAGGCGGUUUGUUGCGCCUGCUGUGAAAGACCGGGGCUUAACUUCGGGGUUGCAGUGGGUACGGGCAGACUAGAGUGUGGUAGGGGUAAUUGGAAUUCCUGGUGUAGCGGUGGAAUGCGCAGAUAUCAGGAGGAACACCGAUGGCGAAGGCAGGUUACUGGGCCAUUACUGACGCUGAGGAGCGAAAGCGUGGGUAGCGAACAGG